GGAACUACUAAUAACAUAGCAAUGCCUGGUACGAUCAUCGCUAGAGCCCAUAAGCCCCAGUCUAAAUGAAUACCUAACAUUUUAGCCAUGAAGUCUCCUGCUAAUGCAUUUGGAGCCAUUGCUGUUAAGAACAUCAAGGAUGUUACUUUUGUUACCAUGUAUGUAUUUGCCAUUAAGAAACGACCAGCUUUGUUAGCCGUUUCACCUGGUUCAGAACCAAGAGAUUUUGCCACUGCAU
rnacentral:antisense_RNA from 1 species